UUUGAUAUUCAAAGAAAACUCGCAUUUCUUUUUAAAUGAUCGAUCGGAUGUUCAUUUCUAAGUAAAGAGGAAGAGGAGUAUUGGAAAAUUAAAUCAACUAGGAUUACAGGACCGCAUCCUAUUUUGAAGUUUUCCUUCAGCAAAUCGCAGAGUGACUGCUGUAUGCCGGCCUCAAUAGCUUCACGAGUUACAUCUUUGAGGUCUUGAAUAGACGUUGGCCUAUUGGCGUAGACCUUUUCUUUCAAGUGGUCUCAAAGGAAGAAGGCGCAAGAUGAACACAAGAUCUCGGUGGCCAAAUGCGAUCAACUCUUUGUGAGAUCCGGAAAGUUUUCCAUUAAAGGAUCGACGGUUUUUUUCUGCUAAUGUGAAAUACCGUUACGCCUUUGUAUUGCUCAAUUAUUUACGCUUCAUUCGGAACGAUUUGCGGCGCUGCUGCUAUUCAAACGGAAAAAUUAUGGAAAAAUAAAAAUGUUGCUUGGCCAAUACUGGCAAUAAUCAUGCAUAAUUCUUUUACAACAGCAAUAAACAAAUCUAAUUUAGCAUCACGAAUGAAACACCUAAGAGAAACAGUAAAACGAGGUCAAAUGUCAAGUAACAGUAAAAAAAGAGAAAAACAUGAAGAAAACAACGCGAAACAGGUUAAACUUUAUGUGUAAGAAAAGAAGAAGAAGAAGACCUAAGAAGCAGCAGAAACAGCAAAUGCAAAAGUAGUAAUAGAAAUAAAAUAGUCAAAUGAGCAAUUAAAGAAAACGUUUUUAUGCAUAUACAUAUCUACUCACAUACAUAUAUGUAUCUACAGAUAUGUAUAGGUGAAUGUACAUUCAAGCAGCGACUAAAUAAUAAAAUACUACAAUAACUCGGAAACUCGGCAACUUGGCAAACUGGCAAUACACAAUGGUAAUUAAAAAUCCACCUGUCGAUGAGAGAGGCAGAAAAUCAGCGAACCAAGCAAUGGACAACUAAAUCAGCUGCCUGCAGCUGAGUAUGAGGAAACAAAAUUAAAACAAAAUGGUGCAUUACAGCAACAGCAGCAGCCACAGUAGCUGCACAUACCUACAGUUGCGAGCAAGGAAAUGGUAACGUUAAAGUUUAAAAUAGAUUUUCAUCAGCAAUUAUAUGGAAGAAAAUGAGCACCACUAGAAGCGAAAAUAAUACUUUCAAGUACGGCUUGUUGAUGUAAAAAUAAAUAAAAAUACUACUACAUUUGUAUAUACAUACUAGUGCUCUGGAUAACCGGGUAUCGAGGACUACAAGCAAUGAAAUGAAAAACUUAAAUAAUUA